AUAAGCUUUCUGAUCACUUGUCUCUUGAAAGCUGCAGAGGAAAAAAAUUGACCCUCCCAUUACCCCCUCCCCAUUAUAAAUGCACAGCGAAGGGCAGCAAAGCAGGCGGUGUCUGAAUCCCCAGAGCAGCAAGCGCUGAAGCUAAUUAUUCCAUCCUCCCCCCCUUUUCCUGUUUUCUCCCCAGAGGGUUGUGACGGGGUCGCGGAGAGAAACUGGAAACAGAGGAAGCUGAUGCAGCCGCUUAUAGAAAAACAAGGCAGCGUUUAGUUUAAAAGAACCCUUUGCUUUCUGUGAGGAUCAAAGCACCUGUGGGAGGAGGAGGGGUCAAGUUUGAUCAGGAACAGAAGAUGAGGCACCAGAUGGCAGAAGCAAGCAAACUACAACAACAAAACAGAUAAGAAGAAAAAGCCACAAUCCAGCAUCAAGGAGCAGCAAAUAUGCAGCCCAGCACUGCUUGUGAAUAGGACUUCACUGAGACUUCAGCAUCAUUGAUUUCUAAGCAUCUGGCUGUGGGAGGAGUUAUGACAUCUGUACACCUGCCAGACAGGGUCUAUUUUAUCUUCAAAAGAUAUUUUCGAAUGGAAAGAAGGAUUAAAAUUUUUGCCAAAUUUGGGACCAGGAAGAAAUUUCCACCGCAUUCCCAUGACUUGGAUUGUGGUGGAUCCUUUCACUUCCUCUGAAUCAACAAAGACGGGAUCAUCAGAUAAAAGAAGGGCCAGUUCAUUUUUUAAUAUGGGUUACCCGUUCAAGAGUUUAAGGCUCUGAGUCCUCCCUGUGAUGAUCCCUUAGCUGAAAUUAGCUUCUUUGAUGAAGUGCUGAAGUCCUGUGGGGCUCAGCUGAAUAUUUCAGUGCUGGGAAUGUAGCUCUUCUUGAGGAGAUGGAGUCAUGAGGUGAAAACUGAAUUGCAAGGUACAGUACCAGAUCUCCCAAGAUUUCUUUGAUAGAUGAAAUGCUUCCCAUCUGAGUGCCUCAUCUGCUAUGCAGUUUGCAUUCCCUCAUGCUGGAAAAUACUGACAUCAACAGGAAAAUGGAAUGUGUUGACCUGAUCAUCAGCCUGAGAAACCUCUACAUUCACUUUCAUUCAGAUGCUGCAGUGAGCUGCCUGUUUGAACAUUCGUGGCCAUGUAGAAAAUCUUUCUGCUAAGAAAUCUGCUAUUUUCCCCCAAAUAUGUAUAUUUCUCCACUGCUGUUUUUCUUUGAUCUCAUCUCCUCCCUUCAAAACCCAUGCAAACUACUGUAAACAAAACAGCCCAGAAGCUUGUAUCACCUCCACUCUAAUAAUUUUAGGGAUAAGGUCCAUAAUAAUCAGAGAUAGUGUAAUGAAAUCUUUACAGGGUCAUAUUUCAGUAUGCAAAUUAGAUCGUUACGUUUUCUCCACUCACAGCAAAGCUAGGUAUCAACGGCACUGUGACAAAAUGUGAGUGAAUAUGUUUGGUUCAGAAUGUGACACUUUAUUUAAAAACAAAAACAAAACACACACACAACCAGGGCUUGCUGACCGUGUUGAUAGCUCUUAAGGAUCUGUCCCCACCCCCCAUCUGAAAAUCAGUACAACUAAUGUAGUCUCUUAAAGGAAGGCUAUUUGCCAUAAUUAUAUUUGCUGUUUCCUUUCCUUUCAAGACACUUUGGCUGUAGAUAAUUGCCCUUUACUCUAAUUUGUUAGAGAGGGAAUAUUUCUCUGGGUAGUGGACUUUCCUACCUUAGAAGCAGCAGAUAAAAUGAGAAUUGAAUUACACUUGAGUGGCAGGCCCUCUAUACCAGUUACAGCCUAAGUUGAAUACUAGGCAGAGGGACCCUGAGUGUUGAUGGUGGCUCAGAAUCUGGAUUUGAAGUGUUAAACCUAUGGCAGCCAUGAUUUGUACCACUGGGAAGUUUUAGCAUGAGCACACUGUGGAGGUUCCAUAGUAUAGGCUAUGCUGGCCUAACAGUUAAGCUUCUGCAUGCAUUAAGCCCUUCUAUUCAGAGAUGAACUCCAUCAGGCUUCCCAGUGAUGAAAUGGAAAUAAGUAAUCCACAGUUUCCCUUACCUAUAGCCUCCUGGUGUGUGUCUCAUCUUUGAAAUUAUGGCUUCAUUACAGCAGUUUGAACAGCUGCAUAAAGUUUGUACAAAAACAAAUGCCAAAAGCAAAUCUAACUCAGUAUUUUGCUCAUUCUGAUUUUUUAAAAACAUGUUGUCACAAGAUAAACAUUUAAACAGCACAAACCUGGAGGAACUACAUAAAACAACAAUGUAGAACAAAGGUGAACCCUUUUUAAAAAAACAGGAAAAAUCAAUAUCAUUCCCACCAAAGCUUUAGAUAUAUAAAACCCUGUAUUUUACUGAAGUUUGUAUCUGACUGAAUUCACAGAACCAAACUACACUCCUAAUAGUGUGGCGAGCAAAGUGUAAGGAAACCUCAUUCAUGGCAGCAGGGGAGGAUUAUUUAUAUUUCCUGUAAUUGACAUAAAGCAUCAAAUGGUAAUUAAAAGGUGAGAUUUGAUUUUCUGUCCACAGUUUUAUAAUUUCAGUGUUGAGCUGAGAUAACUCAUAAGUGAUACACCAUUAUAGGAUUGUGCUCAACAACUUUCACCAUCCAAUUUUAAUUAAAAACAAAAACAGAGAUUGGAAGGAAAAUGCUAAGUCUUUUCCUUUCCUAACCUUUUAGGUCAUCCUAGAAUCACACUCAGGGCCAUAUUUUAAAAACUAGUUGCUGGUGGUGUGCCAACAAAAAACAUAUCCUCAAAACUCACAUUUGCACAUCCAAAAAGGGUACUUGAACGUGCAAAAAGGUACAUGUGCAACUGGUUGUUUUGUGUAAGUAAAUGCUGGGUCUAGAGGUGCAGCAGAUAUGCAUGCAUGCAGAUUUGGUGGGAAUUAUUAGAAGCAGCCAUUUCAGAAAAUUUAGCCUUGAUUAAAUUUAGUAUUCACCUCAUGAACUCCCUCUUGGACUCACUCCUGUCCCCAACUCUUUAACCACUGCCUACUACCUUUCAACCUGUCUCACAAAAUCCUACUACAUGGAUUUGCUUUUCCCAGCGUCUCACUUCCAGUUCCUACCACAGAAGACUAUGACACCAUUCUUUCCCAUAUCUCUCAGCCAACUUGCCUUUCUUAAAACACUCCCGAUAGCCUGUCCCAUUCAGAAACCUUCGGUAAAAUUUCUGAGACCAGGACCAUCAGAAAAAGCUUGAGUCUGAACAGUACAUUAUGAAAUUAAACUGGAUUAUAUAAGCCUGUUAUAUUUCCACUAUGGUCUUUAGAAGGUUUUCUGCCACAAGACAAAAUACCUUGAAGACUGAUUGCAGUUAGCAGAAGAGUUUUACAGCCAGAGUUUGGAGGGGGAAAAAAACAAACCCAACCCAGCUGUUAUAAUUUUCCCCACAUACUGCUUGUGACGCUGUAUGGAAUCUGGGGGACACUUGCGGAUAUUAUGAAUAUCAAUAUAGUAAAACUGCAGUGAGUUAUGCCAGAUAUGCCAUGCAAGGUAUCUGCAAAAUUGUUAUAAUUUGCCAAAUAGGAUAAUCUUGUUUAUAUGUUUGUAUCACCUUUGUAUUGUGGGUUAUAGAUAUGUAUGUAUGUCUGUAUUUCAAAACUUGUGCUAUGCUUCUGGGUGACACCCCGAGACAGUUUCAACAUUGCCUAGCCUGCUUGAUGGCCCAUUAAGCACCAUCAGCUAUACAACUGACCCACUGAGAGAAGGCAAGGGGUACACCUUGUGACUCAGCAAGGCAUACAGGGGCAUGCCCAUGUACAGAACUAAGGCUGCCCAGCCAUGUGGUGGGAAGCUUGUGUUGGAGACAAAGGAAGCACAAGCCACAUGGCAAAAGACUAUAAAAGGCUGCUGCAUCUUCUCCAUUUUGUCUUCAAUUCUGCUUCUUAUCUCUGGAGGAACUUUGCUACAAACUGAAGCUCUGAAUAGAGGACUGAAUGACUCAUGCAAGCUGUGGAUGUAUUCCAGAGGGACUUUCAAGCCAGCAAACUCACCAAUACUACUAAGAACCUGAUAUAUGGACUUUGAAGUCUUUGUAUGUAUGUGACUGUUUUACCAUU